rnacentral:lncRNA from 1 species
CUGCAAGAAAAAAUACUUUCCACCAAACCAAUACGGAGUCCAUAUCGGCCCAUGUAAAGGGCCGUGAUGUCCACCUCAUUGCAGAGGCCUCCUUGGACCCUGACUGGACUGGUGACUGUGCAGUUUACUGUCACCGGACCAGUGAACUAAUCACCCUUCCAUACAAUGCAGCCAUGCCAGUGUCCCUGAAGGUCCUUGAGCAUGAAAUCUUCACACUAACACCUAUCAAGGUUUUGGCACCAGGAUUCAGUUUUGCGCCCUUGGGACUCAUCAAUAUGUACAACUCGGGUGGUGCCAUUGAGGGGCUAAAAUAUGAAACUAAAGCUGGUGGCAAGUUAUCAGAGCUUGAUGUUGGAUAUGGAGGUGAAAGCAGCAGUUUAGGCG